GAGUAUGUUUCCUGCAUUUAAGAGAAUUUAGCAGGCAGAGCUCAGUUCUGCAAGGCAGAGGCAAUGCCUCAGUGACCGGGAGAACCAGCUCCAGGCUAGCCUCCUGUCCUUCCCACGUGAUGUCUGCUCGGAAUGGCUUCUCUGGUGCCCUUCAAGUUCAUCUCAAAGUUAUCAGCAUCUAAAAAUGCCAACAUCGUGACUUAUUUAGGAGCACCAGGAACAGAGCUGCACAAACCCCCUGCCUGACCAGCCUGGGACACACAGGUACUUAAAUGGCGGGAUCCUGUGGGAAACUGUUCCCUGUGAGGUUCCAGCAGCUCCCCAGAAACAUCCUAAACACAGUGAUUAUGGGACACUGUACAUGUUGAGGAGAGGGUGGGAUAGGGGACAAAGGGAGAAGGCAAUGGCUUAGCAGCUCUCAAUAUCAAGUCCUUCCCAACAGAAGCAGAGAUCUGGAAGAAAUCACCUCUCAGGGCCAUUCUACAUGACCGUCCCCCAUGCCAGGGUUUCUCAACCUCAGCACUAUGGUAUUUUGAACUGGGAAAUCCUUCGUUGUGGGGAGGGCUGCCCUGUGCACCGUAUGACAUCUGGAAGUAUCCCUGGCCUCUCUCCACUGAAGACCAACUAGUACCCUUCCUGCUCCUCCACUGUGACAAGCAAAAAUAUGUCCGGACAUUGCCCAGUGUCCCCUGGGGGCACCCAAUUGUCCACCUUGAAAAGGGCUGAGAAAAUGUAGUCUGGUUGCUAUCUCCUAGGGCAUUAGGGCAACAGGGACUGCCCCAGGUAAGCCACACCACCAGCCUUGAGGAGGAGAAGGAGGUCCAGGAGGAGACGGUGCUCCAGCGCCAGCAGACCUCCUCUCUCCACUGCCACAAAACCCACCUCUUCACAGGUCUGGUCCACAUCAGGCAGGAGACCUCAGCCUACCAAAGACAUCCCCGCUACCGGAGAGUCUCAGGGCCCACCCGCCAUCACUCCACAUGACAAUUCACUUCGGGUAUUGGGUAUAUAAAUACCACGUACUUGGCGAAGUUGUCUGGAAGGAAGACACAUACUUCUCGGUCCCUCGAAGCCUUGUUCAACUACCCAUCCCAGCUCUACCCUUUCCUCUAUUCAACAACCUUGACCAAAAGGUAUCCUAAGGUGCCAGAUGGCCUAAGAAACAUCUACCAAAGUCUUGCUCUCCAGGACCUUGGGGAAUCAAGAGUGGCAACACCGGCCAAGUAGCAUGGAGGCAUUUACGGGCCAAGGGACAGAUGGGUGGAAGGCCCAAGCCAGAAAGGGUGGUGUGGGCGGAGCCAGGGAGAUCCCGCAGGACAGGCUGACAAGCUUCCGGGCUGUAGAAAAGCAAAGAUCCUGUGUAACCACAGCUUUGCCCAAGCAGAGAUGAUGCUGGCUGCGCUGCUGACUAUAAAUCUUGUCUGCUUGGGGCUGGGUUUGGCUCACUAGAGACCCGUCCCCCACCAGCUACAGUUUUGCUAAAUUUAGUGCCGUUGCCAGCCACCCAAACGACUCUGCUCUUCGUGUCCAUUUCAGGUUCACCCGGGGACAGGCGGAGACUCGUCAAGAAGAGAUCUGCCCUCGUGUGACCCUCUCCCUUGCCCACUGAAGUCAGGGCCCAGGGGAGCAGACCAUGCGAGACACCACAGCCGGAGGUCUCCAGGGCUCCAAAAGCAGUCUCUGCCCCAAGAUGGCACACGGAGGGCAAAGGGGUUCCUGAGUCCAGAACGCCCCUCCCUCUGCCUAUGCCCAACCACCCAGGCUUCACUCCUGGGGAGUCACAGAUGCUGUGGCCUGAGAGGGGUCCUGCUCCCUCUGACAAGAGGCUGGUGGGCAAUGGAGAGACACACACCCCGGACGGUCCUGGGGGAGGGCCCCACCACCUUGGAGAUAAUAAUGUAUUUAAAUAGUCACAGGCCCUAAAAUGCAGAGGUUAAGAUAGUGAUUUCUAAACCUUGUUGCUCGUUGAAAUUACCUGGGAAGCUUCAAAAACUACUGAUGCCUGAGUGUGACCACCCGAGACUGUGAUAUAAUUAAUCUGGACUGUGAUGUAAUUGGUCUGGACUGUGAUAUAAUUGAUCUGGGCUGUGAUGUAACUGGCCUGGGCUUUGGAAAUUUUAAAAGAUUUCCUGGUGGUUCCAAUGUUCAGACAAGUUGAAGAACCAACAGAUUAAGAACAUGGGCUUCUGCCUUCCAGCUGCCCCAGGUGGACUCCUGACCCAACCUGUGUGCGAUGGGACCUCAGGCAAGCCGUUUAACCUGUCUAUGCCCCAGUUUCAGCAGCCUGUAAAAUGCACGUAACAACGUGUAUCACAUCUCUCAGAGUGUUGCUGGGAAGACUUAUGAGACAAUCCGUGGAAAACAGACAGAACAGUGGUAUGCAGUAAGUGCUCAACAAAAGUUAGGAAUCAUUACUAUUAUGGUAAGAGGAAGGGAAAUGAAAGGAGACCUAAGAGCUGUCUCUAUGAGGCCCAAGAAGUAAGAGUUUCUAUAGAAUGGAAAUUGGGACGAUUUCAAGAAGUGGGCAGGAGGGAAGCCUCCACAGCCACCUGUCCUUAGGAGGAGGACCGCCCACUGCCCCUGCCUCUUCAUGCUUGUCCCCCUCCCCUGCCGUCACGGUCCUCCCCGCCCCCCACCCUUCUGACUCCCACCACUCAGGGCCCAGCUUUGACUGCCCCAGGGCUCCCUCCUCAGGUCUCUCACACUACCGCCCCAUGCCUCUGUGGGAUGAAUGAAUGCUUUGAUAUUUACUAGUCCAGUCUCCUCAACAAGACAAUGAGCGGCUUGGGGAAGGCCCCAGUUCUCAUGCUUCUGUGGGUCAGCACCAUGCUGAUCACCCAGCUCUGGAUUAGUAUGUACGGAAUGAAAACACAUUUUGAGCCAGCAGAGCUAACUGCGCACCAGCAAGGAUCCCGGCUCGGUGCCCAGGAGAGCGGGGCCAGCGCUCAAGAGUCAUGGAAUUCUGGGCUCUUCCCACAAGCCUCCACCCACCCACUCCCAAGGCCUGGAGAUGGCCUCUGGGGAAGUGGCUGGAACCCGCUGUCUACGCCAAGGGCCAAGAGAUCGUUCCAGGACAGUUUCUCAGACAUUUUGGACCUUGAUCCACAGCAAGAAGUAAAGUUUACUGAAUGAUCCUGUACAAGAUCCGUGUGUACUUGUGUACAGGCAGAUAUAUACCUAUAUAAAACCGUAACACAGUUUCAUGGAAUCAUACUCAUCUUUACUACAUAGUAUGUGAUCUAGUAUUUUCUACUAUGUUCUUUUUUAAAAAAGCAUUGGUCUCAACACUAAGUUGACUUCACAACCCCUCCCCACUAAUUAAGGUGCCUGGACUUGCAGUCCAAAAACCACUAGGGGGAAAAUAGGAGGGGCUCGAAAGAACUUUGAAAAAUCACUCACAGACGCACCUCCCCACAAAGCAAAAAUCCCACCAAGCACAUGAAGGAGGACCUCCGCAGAGGGGAGGGAGGCCCUGCAUCACUCUAUCAAUCAAGGCUGCUCCCAGGAGUCCACAAGUCGGCCCUCAGCUUUGCUCUGCGGGCAGGAGCCCAGCCACUCCCCACUUUCACCUCUGGCAGUAGUUUCUGGGGCUGGGAACCACCUAGCUUCAGCGGGGGGCAGGACUGAUUCUCAGGGAGUGUUGCUCACUGGGAUAGAGUAUCGUCUCACCACCCCUCAACCUCAUCCUGCCUCUGGGUGAACUUCUAUAACAAAGGCAGAAAUGCCAACACAGGGCUGCCCACGUCGGGUUUUUUAAAUCUCCAAACAUCCUAUCCAUAUAUCAGAUACCCCACAAAAUCUACAGAUACAUAUAUCAGAUACAUAUACACAUAUCAGAUACGCCAUAAAUUGGUUUUUAAAUGUACUGUUAACUCAAGGUACACAAAUACCCUUUAUAUUAAUUUUUAUGACACUAGGAAGAAAACAGUCCAUUUUAAACUACCCGAGGACCUGUCUUUCUCCUUUUUCAAGCAGCCCCUGAAAUCUUGCUGCCCCUCCCUCCGGCAGCCCUUCUGAUGGAGUUCUCCAAGCCUUUACCACCGUGAUGUGAACCUCUAAUGACUCCUUUCCACAAUCUCUGUUCCCAGAAAUGCAAACACUGCUUUUCUGCGUCUGUAAUUACUGCUUGUCUGGGUAUCUGAGUUGGAAACUAUGUCACAGAGAAAAGUUAGCAGAAGCAUUCCAUAUUCUGAAUUAGUAUUAAAGGUUCAGUUUGUUUUUUUUCCCCAGGUAAACUUUGCUGUUUUGUCCCAAGCUAAAGGAGCACACACUGGAUCUUUCAUGUCAGUGCACAGGGACGCCUCCCCCAAACUCCACUGCUCCCCCAACCUCAGUGGGGCCACUACUGUGCCUGCCACUUACCAGGGCCAUUAACACCCCGAAUGCCUGCAGAGCACACACUCAUCUGAGUCAAUUCCCAAAGACUCCAGGGAAAAAGGUGUCUUCUCCCUGUUUUAAGAGCUCAUACGCACUGGCAGUGCCCCUCCUCCCCACCAGUCUAGAGCAGGUUUUAUAACUUGGGAUCUGUGAGUCGUCUCCCAGAUCACGUGCUGUUGUGAUUUUUUUUUUUUCUUCCUGGAAAAAGAGACUAUAAGUUUCCAUGCAAUUCUUAGUGAGAACUGGUGCAACCAAAGUCAUAUUCAUAGCAGUCAGGGCCUCCUAAGACUGCCCGUACCUGCAAUACGUAGCCCCGUCUGCCCCAUACACCCCCCAGAGCAGGCAGACCAUGCUUCUUCCAACAAGCCAUUUCCUCCUUCACUCUGGGCCUUUGUGUUGUACCUUUGGGUGAAGGCUCACUCCUCCAACACCAGCUUUGACAGAAAAAAAUCAGAAAAAAAAACCCACAAAAAAUGAACCUUUAAUACUAAUUCAGAAUAUGGAAUGCUUCUGCUAACUUUUCUCUGUGACAUGGCUUCCAACUCAGCAUUGACAGGGACCAAGCGCUGGGCUAGCCUCUGAGGACUCAGUCCUGAGCGAGACAGGCAAGAUCUUUUUCCUCCCGUUCCAAGAGACAUCCUCCAAUUCCCGACUGCCCCCCUUCUGGCUAAUAUAACACUUUCUUACACUCUAUUCACAUCCCUUUUAUGCUUUGUCUUGUAACCAUUAGCUCUCUGAGGACAGAGACCAUGUCUCAUUCAUGCUGGCAUGUUCUUUCCUUUCCCAUCCCUUCCCAUCCCCAUCCAGAAAGACAGCGCCUUUCACAUAGAAGGCCCCAUACAAUUGCGCACCAAUGAGGCAUGCUGCCGGGCUAGCUAGUGGUCUAAGCAGCCAAGACUGGUGGCCCACCAGGCACAGCCAUGCUCAUCGAUGCAGGGUCGAGGGGACGUGGGAGAUGGUCUCUACUGCAGCAGGGACUACACAGGCCUCUGUUCCCAGCCACAGCCUGUAGUGCUCCUUCUGGCCACUCAUCUUGUAAAUUGUGUUCUGUUCACAGCAGUUGGAAAAAUAACUCCAAGUGUACGUAUCCACCCGACAUACCUCCUAGACUGUCAGAUGGAUGCAGAGCAUACUUGCACAACAUUUUCAGCAUAUAGGUGAGCUGACGGACAACAAUGCUUCAAAGAUGUAUCUCCUCUCUCUUUAAGAAGAGAGCUGGCUCUUCUAGCUACCUCGGCCAUUUCUGCCAGCAGUCGCCGCCAGCUCACUUCCAGAGCAGGUCUGAGCUCUGGAACUCCGCCGUCACAACAUGGCUAUGCCACAAGUCACUGCCUACUUUGCUGCCUGUCAGAUCCAGAAUGAGGCAUCCAGACUCAUCAGACAUCAAGGCUACAAUGCUAUUUUCCCCAGUGGCCCCAAAGCUUUCAAUAAUGUUAAA